GACGAACGCUGACAGAAUGCUUAACACAUGCAAGUCAACUUGAACUUCGGUUUGGGUGGCGGACGGGUGAGUAACGCGUAAAGAACUUGCCUCACAGCUAGGGACAACAUUUGGAAACGAAUGCUAAUACCUGAUAUUAUGAUUUUAGGGCAUCCUAGGAUUAUGAAAGCUAUAUGCGCUGUGAGAGAGCUUUGCGUCCCAUUAGCUAGUUGGAGAGGUAACGGCUCACCAAGGCGAUGAUGGGUAGCCGGCCUGAGAGGGUGAUCGGCCACAAGGGGACUGAGACACGGCCCUUACUCCUACGGGAGGCAGCAGUGGGGAAUAUAGGACAAUGGACCAAGAGUCUGAUCCAGCAAUUCUGUGUGCACGAUGAAGUUUUUCGGAAUGUAAAGUGCUUUCAGUUGGAAGAAAGAAAUGACGGUACCACA
rnacentral:rRNA from 1 species